GCAUCGANGGAAANNACGCAGCGAAAUGCGAUAAGUAAUGUGAAAUUGCAGAAAUUCAAGUGGAAAUCAUCGAAAUCUUUGAACGCACAUUUGGCGGCCCGGCCAGGCAUUCUGGGCGGGGCAUGGCCUGGUUCGAGCGUCAUU
rnacentral:rRNA from 1 species